AUGGAGGGAGCUCCCGUGACGGCAGCCACGGGGGUCUUGGGUCCCGUCGUAGCAAAGCUGGGUGCUUUGCUGAGCAGCGACUACAAGCUUCGCCGCCAGACUCGCAAGGACGUCAAGUCCAUCAGAUCCAAGCUCAAGUCGGUGCACUCUAUCCUUUGGGCCAUAUGGGAGAAGGAGGAUCUCGAUGCGGAAUCCAAGGUCCUGAAGAAGGAAGCACUGGAUCUGGCUGCUGAUAUGGACGACGCCAUUGAUGACUUCAUCCUCACGAUGCAGGGCAGCCACAGAAGCAAGCGUUUGAUAGAGAGGAAGAUCGAAGUAAGCCCUUUCCAAGAUUUCAAGAGGAGAGUAGAUGACGUGUCGGCCCGGUGCCACAGCAAGUGGAAGUGGAAGGACAGGUCUGCUCAACCCUUCUCCAGCUUAUUUGCAUGGAGAAACACCAAAUCCAGCACCCCCAGCCAACCGCCUCCACCUCCUCGUCGAGCUCCAUUUGUCCGCAAGGAUGUGUCAGAGCUCGUCUGUAUGGAUGGAUGGAGGAACGAGCUCACCAGAUACCUAGUAGGAGAAGAAGAGAGCACAAUGGUUGAGCUGCAGCUCAAAAUAGUAUCCAUUGUUGGAAUGGCCGGUGUAGGGAAAACAACCCUUGCCAGCCUUGUUUAUGGGGACGAGGAGAUCGCAAAUAAGUUCCAGUCCCGGUCUUUUGUAUCCGUCACAUCAACUCCCAACAUGAAGGAGGUUCUCACAAGUAUUCUCCAACAAGUAGGAGCUCAACCACCUGCUGGCACCGAAGCAAGAACAGAGGAACAUAUCAUCCACACCAUAUCCAAUUUCCUAGAGAACAAAAGGUACCUCGUAAUAAUUGAUGACAUAUGGAACCGUGAACAAUGGGACAUCAUUAGGAGACCUUUUCCAGUUAAUAAUCUGGGCAGCAGAAUUGUCAUGACAAGCCGUAUUCAUUCCAUGCGAGGAUAUGAUUUUGAUAAUAACAAGCCCUGCAUCAGAAUGAAUCCUCAAUUGAGUUUCGACAAGAGAAGGUGGCUCUAUGGACCUGAUAGGGAAGAUGUCGCUGCUCGGAUGAAGCCUGACAUGGUUGGAGAAGGCUUUGAUUGUGACCAUCCUAUUGUGCGCAUGUGUGGUGGUGUCCCGUUAGCACUACUUUGCAUGUUUUCAGCAAUGGCAAUGGUCUGUCAGCAACAAGAACAAGCAAGGGACGUGCAAGAUAUGAUCGAAUUUGAGAGGCGAGUUAAGCAAAGUGGAAUCCAGAACACUCCAGGGUUCGAACCGUUGGUAGAGAGUUUGCAGCUUGGCUACAAUGAUCUUCCUCACCAUAUGUUGAAGACCUGCUUGUUGUACUGCAGUAUAUACCCUGAGAAUUACAAAUUUUACGGGGAUGAUUUGGUGAUGCGAUGGAUCGCUGAAGGAUUUAUUUAUGAACUUGAUGCAGGAAAAGGUUAUUUAGAAGAGCUUGGCGAUAGAGGAUUAUUGAUGCUGCUGGAGGAUAAGGAUGAAAAGGCCUACCAAAUGAACCCCGUGAUGCGGAAUUUCCUUGGAUGGAAAUUGCGUGAAGGUAAUUUCAUUACUUGCAGUUCUGACAUCACAUCGUCAUGUGCCUGUCGAAUCCAUCGACUAUGUAUGGAUGAUUAUUCAGCUGAUGGUGCGGCGGAGGGAGUGGAUCCCUUGUUUGGGUUGUAUUGGUCUCAGAUUCGAUCUCUUGUUGUUUUCGAAGGUGCUAAGACAUAUGUCCCUUUUGAGAAGUUGGAACAUGUGCGAGUGUUGGAUCUUCAAUAUCAUCAGCGGCUUCGUGAAACCAGAAAGUAUGUGCAUGUUUUUGAGGAUCUUGACUUUGAGGCUCUUGGGAAUGAUCAUGUGAAGGAUAUAUGUGGACUGCUCCGUGUGAGGCACCUAUUCGGCCUAGAAGGGAAGGGAAUUAGUGAGAUACCACCAGAAAUAGCGAGGCUGCAGUAUUUGGAGACAUUGCACGUAAGGCGAACUUUGAUUAGAGAGCUACCCAGUGAGAUUGGGGACUUACAGCAGUUGAAGACUCUAGUGAUGAGUCGCAACCUAAAGCUGGCAGAGCUGCCCAGGGAGAUUGGGGACCUCAAGAAUUUGGAGACUCUGGACCUGAGUUACAACCAGGAGCUCACAGAGCUACCUCGCGAGAUCAGGAAACUGCAGAAUUUGAAGCAACUGUUGUUGACAUUUAUACCCGUGACGAAGUUACCAAAGGAAAUGGUGGGGCUAAAAAAACUUAAAAAAUUGGCAUUAGAUUCGGCCAUCAGCGCACUACCCUGGGAAACUAGCCAACUUUCGAAUUUGGAGGGAGUGGCUGAGUGCGUCCGGCAAGCUUGGAAGAACAGUGAUCUUGUGUCUGAGUUCUCCGCGGAGAUCCUGUCCAUUCAAAUGGAUGCAUGGACUACUGAAAGGGGUGGGCUAACUGUUGGCACAAAACACAUGCACAUUCCAUGGUGGAUCAAGGAUCACUUCAACGACCUUGCCUACUUGGAUAUCAGGAUCUGCAAACUCGAGGAGCAGGAUCUGAAGAUUCUGCGGGAGAUGCCUAGCCUGAAAGACCUCAAGCUAAGGCUCGAAGUCGUCCCAAGAAAGCCCAUAGUCAUCAGCGGCGAAGGGUUCCCGAGGCUUAUGUGGCUCGUUGUUGACAGCCGCGCGUCGCCAAUUAUCACCUUCCAGGAAGGAGCGAUGCCGGAGCUGCACCGGCUCAUCUUCGAGUUCCAGUUCUACGGUGGCCCACCUGCAAAUAAAGACCCUCCGUGUCUGGGUAUCAACCACCUCCGGAACCUCUACCAUGUCGAAUUCAGAUGCAACGAGGAAUGGUAUAAAGGAGCAGCAGAGAGCAGCCCGUGUGUGAGCGCGAUGAUUGACGUCGUGAGGAAAGAAGCCCAGGAGCAUCCCCGCUGGAUCGAGAUUUUGGUCUCUGGCCGAAAGAGGGAGCGUUUUCCAAGGAAGGAGAGCGCACAGGAGGUUUCCAGCAGUGAUGGGAGUGGCGCUGAGAUCCAGGAGGAGACCCUGGAAGCAGCGUGA
rnacentral:rRNA from 1 species